GCUGACCUCCCUCUCGAUUAGUGCAGGGGAAAAGCACUUUAAAAAGCUGUCUCGUGUGUAACUUGCACAUCUUCUGAUUCUGACCUGAAACUGCAUCCCAGGUCGGCACAGACACAACCCAGUCUCCUCCCACCUCCCACAGUGCAGUGUCCUGAAUGGAGGACCCCAGCACCCAGAGGCAUCCACUGAAGGACGUGAGUCCUGGAACCCUGGCUGCACCCACAGACACAGCCACUCCUGGGCCCAUGUGGAUGGAACCUUCGAGUGCCAGAAUGCCUCGUCUCCAUGGAGACCAAAGUCAAGGGCCUGACUGGCCCAGUCUACCGAGACCACG
rnacentral:antisense_RNA from 1 species